AAAACAUCGCCUCCCGCAACACAACCUAGUAUAGGAGGUCCAGCCUGCCCAGUGACUACAAGUUCAACGGCCGCGGUAUUUUGACCGUGCAAAGGUAGCGCAAUCACUUGUCUUUUAAAUAGAGACCUGUAUGAAUGGUUAAACGAGGGCUUAACUGUCUCCCCUUUCAAGUCAGUGAAAUUGAUCUGCCCGUGCAGAAGCGGGCAUAAUAAUACAAGACGAGAAGACCCUUUGGAGCUUAAGGUACAAAAUUCAACCACGUCAAGCAACUCAAUAAAAAGCAAUAAACCUUGUGAAACAUGAAAUUUUACCUUCGGUUGGGGCGACCACGGAGGAAAAAAAAGCCUCCAAGUGGACUGGGAUAAAUAUCCUAAAACCAAGAGAGACAUCUCUAAGCCACAGAACAUCUGACCAUACAUGAUCCGGCCACCAAGACCGAUCAACGAACCAAGUUACCCUAGGGAUAACAGCGCAAUCCUCUCCCAGAGUCCAUAUCGACGAGGGGGUUUACGACCUCGAUGUUGGAUCAGGACACCCUAAUGGUGCAGCCGCUAUUAAGGGUUCGUUUGUUCAACGAUUAAAGUCCUACGUGA
rnacentral:rRNA from 1 species